UACGAAGGGGCUAGCGUUGCUCGGAAUCACUGGGCGUAAAGCGCACGUAGGCGGCUUGUUAAGUCAGGGUGAAAUCCUGGAGCUCAACUCCAGAACUGCCUUUGAUACUGAGAUCUUGAGUCGGGAGAGGUGAGUGGAACUGCGAGUGUAGAGGUGAAAUUCGUAGAUAUUCGCAAGAACACCAGUGGCGAAGGCGGCUCACUGGCCCGUAUCGUGACGCUGAGGCGCGAAAGCGUGGGGAGCAAACAGGG
rnacentral:rRNA from 1 species